ACUGUCGUCAUUCCGCUUUGCUCUCUGCUGUGGAACUUGACUGACACCUGUGCUUUGCCUGUGUGCAGAAGAAGAACAAGGACCAGAUCUCCAGUCUUCUCUCUCACAUCCCAACCCCCCAACCCCUCUAUCCUCUGUCCUACUCCACCUGUUGUCUCUGCCUUCUUUCCAUCUGUAUUUCACCCUGUGGUUUGUGAGAAAUUUUGCCAAACCAAGAAUCUUAUUGCGGUUUGAUUUCAAAGCCGUGUCUCUCCUGCUCUGUCUGUUCUCUCUGCUAAAUUUUCUCUCUACCUGUUUUUCACUCUUUGGC